rnacentral:rRNA from 1 species
CCUACGGGAGGCAGCAGUGGGGAAUCUUGCGCAAUGGGCGAAAGCCUGACGCAGCAACGCCGCGUGCGGGAAGAAGGCUUUCGGGCUGUAAACCGCUUUCAGCAGGAACGAAAAUGACGGUACCUGCAGAAGAAGGAGCGGCCAACUAUGUGCCAGCAGCCGCGGUGAUACAUAGGCUUCAAGCGUUGUCCGGAUUUAUUGGGCGUAAAGAGUUCGUAGGCGGUCGAGUAAGUCGGGUGUGAAAAUUCUGGGCUCAACCCAGAGACGCCACCCGAUACUGCUUGACUUGAGUUCGAUAGGGGAGUGGGGAAUUCCUAGUGUAGCGGUGAAAUGCGCAGAUAUUAGGAGGAACACCGGUGGCGAAGGCGCCACUCUGGAUCGAUACUGACGCUGAGGAACGAAAGCAUGGGUAGCAAACAGGAUUAGAUACCCUGGUAGUCCAUGCCGUAAACGGUGGGCACUAGGUGUGGGUUUCUAUUAACGAAAUCCGCGCCGUCGCUAACGCAUUAAGUGCCCCGCCUGGGGAGUACGGUCGCAAGACUAAAACUCAAAUGAAUUGACGGCNGAGAGNGCGAGACGACGACGAGGAGAG